AUUGAACGCUGGCGGCAUGCCUUACACAUGCAAGUCGAACGGCAGCACGGGUGCUUGCACCUGGUGGCGAGUGGCGAACGGGUGAGUAAUACAUCGGAACAUGUCCUGUAGUGGGGGAUAGCCCGGCGAAAGCCGGAUUAAUACCGCAUACGAUCCACGGAUGAAAGCGGGGGACCUUCGGGCCUCGCGCUAUAGGGUUGGCCGAUGGCUGAUUAGCUAGUUGGUGGGGCAAAGGCCUACCAAGGCGACGAUCAGUAGCUGGUCUGAGAGGACGACCAGCCACACUGGGACUGAGACACGGCCCAGACUCCUACGGGAGGCAGCAGUGGGGAAUUUUGGACAAUGGGCGAAAGCCUGAUCCAGCAAUGCCGCGUGUGUGAAGAAGGCCUUCGGGUUGUAAAGCACUUUUGUCCGGAAAGAAAUCCUUGACUCUAAUACAGUCGGGGGAUGACGGUACCGGAAGAAUAAGCACCGGCUAACUACGUG
rnacentral:rRNA from 1 species